AGUAAUGCGUGACCAACCUGCCCCAUGCUCCAGAAUAGCUCUUGGAAACGGGUGGUAAUGCUGGAUGCUCCAACUUGACGCAUGUCUUGUUGGGAAAGUGUUUAGUGGCAUGGGAUGGGGUCGCGUCCUAUCAGCUUGUAGGCGGGGUAAUGGCCCACCUAGGCUUCGACGGGUAGCCGGCCUGAGAGGGCGGACGGCCACAUUGGGACUGAGAUACGGCCCAGACUCCUACGGGAGGCAGCAGGG
rnacentral:rRNA from 1 species